AUGGACAGAGGAAUUGAGACUUCAGUACUCCUCAUAACUGGGAUGAUUUCUUUACACACUCCACCUGACCACAUGGAUUGAAGUUUGUCAUGAACAUUGUCACUUUUUGGAUCACCCAGCAUCUGAACCUCCUUCCAACAUCUGGGGUGCUCCCAAUCUUAUGAAUUUUAGUGACAGGCAGAGGCUACCUCCCACUACAGGGGCCAAAAAUGCCAGCUGAUUACCUUCCCAGUCCCCUUGCUGCUAGAGCAUGAUCACAUGGCUGAGGCUUUGAAACAGGAGUGAGUGAGGCAAGGAAGCGAAGACCACAGAUGAUUCUGAAGUUUAAUGAGAUUGAGCCCCUGAAGGAGGAGUGGUAUAGUGCUGGGGCGGCAACCUGUGUCCAGAGCCAGGGCUCCUGGUGCUGGUACCGAGGGUGUAGUCUUCAGCAUGACAACGGUUUUGUCCUCCCCAGACCAGCUCUGUACUGGAAUGUGCUGGGAUUAUAUCCCUUGGUCCUGGCUCAGUGGCCUCUGAGCCCAGGUCUGCAUGUCUCUACCCUUCUACUGAGCUAACCAACAUUAUUUCUUAGACAAUUUUAAUCAAUAAUAAAGCUUAAAUGUAAAACUUGGACAAAUCAGUUAAAUCCUACUUGCCUCCCCAUAGAAAGGCAACAGACUGCUUGGAAUUGACAUUACCAUUUUCAUGCAUCUUUAAUACUUUAUAUUAGGGAACCCUGAGCACUACACAGCAAUCAUCCUGUAUACUCUUAAACUUCAUACAAAUGGUGUCAUACUCUAUGUAUCCUUCUGAAACUGGCUUUAUCUCACUCAACACUAUGAUUAUGGAUUAUUCCAGGAUGAUACAUGUGGCUAUUAGUUCACUCAUUUUUACUGCUGUGGCUCUAAUAGAAUUCCACUGAAAGAAUGUAUCACAAUUUG
rnacentral:lncRNA from 1 species